rnacentral:sRNA from 1 species
UACGUAUUCAUAAUCGACAGUUUGUGUU